CCUAUAACCCCUCCUCCUCCUCUACUACAGACACCUAUAACCCUCCUCUACUACAGACACCUAUAACCCCUCCUCCUCUACUACAGACACCUAUAACCCCUCCUCCUCUACUACAGACACCUAUAACCCCUCCUCCUCCUCUACUACAGACACCUAUAACCCCUCCUCCUCCUCUACUACAGACACCUAUAACCCCUCCUCCUCCUCUACUACAGACACCUAUAACCCCUCCUCCUCUACUACAGACACCUAUAACCCCUCCUCCUCCUCUACUACAGACACCUAUAACCCCUCCUCUUCCUCUACUACAGACACCUAUAACCCUCCUCCUCCUCUACUACAGACACCUAUAACCCUCCUCCUCUACUACAGACACCUAUAACCCCCUCCUCUACUACAGACACCUAUAACCCCCCUCCUCCUCUACUACAGACACCUAUAACCCCUCCUCCUCCUCUACUACAGACACCUAUAACCCUCCUCCUCCUCUACUACAGACACCUAUAACCCCCCUCCUCCUCUACUACAGACACCUAUAACCCUCCUCCUCUACUACAGACACCUAUAACCCCCCUCCUCCUCUACUACAGACACCUAUAACCCCUCCUCCUCUACUACAGACACCUAUAACCCCCCUCCUCCUCUACUACAGACACUUAUAACCCCUCCUCCUCUACUACAGACACCUAUAACCCCUCCUCCUCUACUACAGACACCUAUAACCCCCUCCUCCUCUACUACAGACACCUAUAACCCUCCUCCUCCUCUACUACAGACACCUAUAACCCUCCUCCUCCUCUACUACAGACACCUAUAACCCCUCCUGAGAUGUGAUCAUGGCAGAGCGAACCCUGCUAGCUGUUGCUUUCUACUCUUUACGUUUGUUUUGUUUCGGGGGGUGCUGACCUCUGACCCAUUGACCUUGCUACUGUUCCAGAGAUAUUCUGACCUUUGACCCAUUGACCUUGCUACUGUUCCAGAGAUAUUCUGACCUUUGACCCAUUGACCUUGCUACUGUUCCAGAGAUAUUUUUGAUUAAAGCAUGUUUCUGCUCAAUAAACAUUUUAGUUUUCA
ensembl:lncRNA